UACCAGCACCCCGAGUGGUCGGGACGUUUAUUGGGCCUAAAGCAUCCGUAGCCGGUUUUACAAGUCCCCCGUUAAAUCCAACUGCUUAACAGAUGGGCCGCGGAGGAUACUAUAAGACUAGGAGGCAGGAGAGGCAAGCGGUACUCAGUGGGUAGGGGUAAAAUCCGUUGAUCCAUUGAAGACCACCAGUGGCGAAGGCGGCUACCUGGCCCAUUCUUGACGCUGAGGCGCGAAAGCUAGGGGAGCAAACGGG
rnacentral:rRNA from 1 species